AUACAUAGGGGGCGAGCGUUGUCCGGAAUGAUUGGGCGUAAAGGGCGCGUAGGCGGCGCGGUAAGUCUGGAGUGAAAGUCCUGCUUUCAAGGUGGGAAUUGCUUUGGAUACUGCCGCGCUUGAGUGCAGGAGAGGUUAUCGGAAUUCCCGGUGUAGCGGUGAAAUGCGUAGAGAUCGGGAGGAACACCAGUGGCGAAGGCGGGUAACUGGACUGCAACUGACGCUGAGGCGCGAAAGUGUGGGGAGCAAACAGGAUUAGAUACCCUGGUAGUCCACACUGUAAACGAUGAAUGCUAGGUGUAAGAGGUAUCGACCCCUUCUGUGCCGGAGUCAACACAAUAAGCAUUCCGCCUGGGGAGUACGGCCGCAAGGUUGAAACUCAAAGGAAUUGACGGGG
rnacentral:rRNA from 1 species